UUAAUGUUAAUCUUUUAAGACAAUAUUUAUUUUCCGUUUUCAAUUUAAUAUAUGUACAUGCAUAUCGUCGCUUGUCACGCAAUACCUCGUAUCCGUCAAAUGCAAUACCACGUAUGAGGUGGCACAGAAAAAUAUUUAUUUUGGUUACACUAUUUCAAAGCCUCCCUAUUUACUUUACAAAUUGAGUUAUGAAUAAUUACAGUAGAAGCUCAUAUUUAGCAAGUUCAGUUAGAAAACCAUUUAAAUGUUUGGAAGAAAAUAAGUUUCUUUCCUCUUUUGCGAAAUUUUCCGACUACCUUUUACGUGGUGUUGCAUUUGGCGGAUACAUUUCUUUCUCUGUAACGCAUUCUCUUCUCGCUUCUCUGGAUUUUACUUUCUUACUUGUUUAUCCAUUCAUUCGCUUCUUUGUAAGACGUUGUCACUUCGUUUCUUUUCCAUCCGUGAUGUGUUCUCCCUUCGCUCGUAGGUAAUGCUGCCGGUAAGAGCUUAGGCCAAUGACAUGCCCACAUUAAAAUAAUUCCUGCUUGCAGCGAAAGAGUAUGCGAUGCCCAUGGUCUAGUUCGAUUCCAUUUUAAUUCUGUGGUAAUCGUGUUUUUUGCUGGGUACAUGCAUAUGUGCAUACGUAUGUGGCUGUGUACUUAAAAUAUAGAAACACUUCAUCAAUAUGUAAAAUAAAAAUAGUUCCCAAAUAAAUCAGCACUUUUAUGGAACUCAAUGCCGGUGGUAUUUACGAUAUAAGAUAUAUGUAAAUGCACAAAUAUAUGUAUUGAUAAUAUCAAAAAAAAAACUAAAAUAUAUUUAAUGUAUUGUAUGUACAAGCAAAACUAGGAUUGUAUGUGUGCAUAUACAUACAUACACACAUAGAAUAUGUAAAUACAUACCUGUACUAGGAUCGUACAAUGUUAGAAGUUCAUACAUACAAAUGUACAUACAUAUUAUGUAUAUGUAUAUCUAUAAGAUGUGAUAAUAAUAUUGUAUAUUUACCUAAAUCAAUACACAUAAUAAAUUAUACAUACACACAUGAAUUUAAUGCAAGGGAAUAACUAAUUACGAUGUAGAAAUAAAUGGAUCACCAUACCAGCAACAA